GACGAACGCUGGCGGCGUGCCUAAUACAUGCAAGUUGAGCGCUGAAGGUUGGUACUUGUACCGACUGGAUGAGCAGCGAACGGGUGAGUAACGCGUGGGGAAUCUGCCUUUGAGCGGGGGACAACAUUUGGAAACGAAUGCUAAUACCGCAUAACAACUUUAAACACAAGUUUUAAGUUUGAAAGAUGCAAUUGCAUCACUCAAAGAUGAUCCCGCGUUGUAUUAGCUAGUUGGUGAGGUAAAGGCUCACCAAGGCGAUGAUACAUAACCGACCUGAGAGGGUGAUCGGCCACAUUGGGACUGAGACACGGCCCAAACUCCUACGGGAGGCAGCAGUAGGGAAUCUUCGGCAAUGGACGAAAGUCUGACCGAGCAACGCCGCGUGAGUGGAGAAGGUUUUCGGAUCGUAAAACUCUGUUGGUAGAGAAGAACGUUGGUGAGAGUGGAAAGCUCAUCAAGUGACGGUAACUACCCAGAAAGGGACGGCUAACUACGUG
rnacentral:rRNA from 1 species